rnacentral:lncRNA from 1 species
GCGCCACUGCACCCCAGCCUGGGCAGCAGAGCAAGACACUCAGUCUCCCAAAAAAAAAAAAAAAAAAAGACUGAAAUACUCCCCCGCCUUCCUUCCCUUUUCCCCUUCAGAAACUACAGUGGUUUGCAGUUUCUGAUCCCUUAAGAGGCAGAAAAUAUUCCAUGGGGCUAACUGUGGCUUUCUUCCAUUGCCGCUGAAAGUCCCCCACAAGGCCGGAUAAACCCUGACUCAGGUCGAGGAGGUGGUGUUUGGUUUUAUUUCUCUCUCUCUCUCUCUCAACUUUUAUUUCUUGUUCAAGCAUACAUGUGCAAGAUUGUUAUAUAGGUAACUUCUGACUGGGGGUUCAGUGUGCGGAUUAUUUCAUCAACCGGGUACUCAGCGCAAUACCUGACAGUUUUUAUCUGAAACUGUCUCUCCUCCCACUCCUCCUCCCUCAAGUAGAGCCCCGUGUCUGUCGUCCCCCUUUCUCCCCAAGUGUUCUCAUUAUUUAGUUCCCACUUAUAGAUGAGAACACGAGGUAUUAAUUAUUUUUGGUUUCAUCUUCGGUGAUGGUGAUAAAAGAGGCAUGACCCUAAAUCGAGCCUUAGGACACUCCCCUCAGGCUGAGGCAGGAGAAUCACUUGAACCCAGGAGGCAGAGAUUGCAGUGUGCCAAGAUUACGGGACACUGCACUCUAGCCUGGGGGACAGAGCAAGACUCCGUCUCCAAAAAAAUGAAUUAAAAACAAACAAACAAAAAAAAAAGACUAGUGGGCCAGCCUAGCCAACAUGGCUAAACCCUGCUUGUCUCUACUAAAAAUGCAAAUAUCAGCCAGGCCUGGUGGCACACGCUGGGGAAGACCACUCAGGGAAGCCGAGGCAUGAGAAUCACUUGAGCCUGGGAGGCGGAGGUAGCAGCCAUCCUAAUUCGAGCCACCGCACUCC